rnacentral:rRNA from 1 species
GACGAACGCUGGCGGCGUGCCUAAUACAUGCAAGUAGAACGCUGAAGGAGGAGCUUGCUUCUCUGGAUGAGUUGCGAACGGGUGAGUAACGCGUAGGUAACCUGCCUGGUAGCGGGGGAUAACUAUUGGAAACGAUAGCUAAUACCGCAUAAGAGUAGAUGUUGCAUGACAUUUGCUUAAAAGGUGCAAUUGCAUCACUACCAGAUGGCCCUGCGUUGUAUUAGCUAGUUGGUGAGGUAACGGCUCACCAAGGCAACGAUACAUAGCCGACCUGGGAAGGUGAACCGCCCAACUUGGACUUGGACACCGCCCAAGCUCCUACGGGAGGCAGCAGUAGGGAAACUUCGGCAAUUGGCGGAAGUCUGACCGAGCAACGCCGCGGGAGUGGAGAAGGGUUUCGGAUCGUAAAGCUCUGUUUUAAGAGAAGAACGAGUGGGAGAGUGGAAAGUUCACACUGUGACGGUAUCUUACCAGAAAGGGACGGCUAACUACGUG